CAAAGAAUUAGAAGGCCAGCCUGGUAUGAAUGCAUGUCAGGCUGCCUGCCAAUCAUGCAGCUGGCCAACUAAGGGCAUACUAUGCAGACAGCACCUUGAGCUUGGCAUAAAUGCAUCUAAUGAUGCGCUCGCUUAACGCUUUCUAAGGACUGUCCCCUAGCACUCGCUGGUCCACUUAUCUCCUUACCUUCUUACUAGCAGGCAGAAGCUCCUGGUAUAUAGU